UCCGGUUUGGCACCGGCAGUCCUCCCAGAGUCCUCGGCAUGACCCGGUAGCAACUGGGAGCGGGGGUUGCGCUCGUUGCGGGACUUAACCCAACAUCUCACGACACGAGCUGACGACAGCCAUGCAGCACCUGUCUUAGCGUUCCCGAAGGCACCAAUCCAUCUCUGGAAAGUUCGCUAGAUGUCAAGACCAGGUAAGGUUCUUCGCGUUGCAUCGAAUUAAACCACAUACUCCACCGCUUGUGCGGGCCCCCGUCAAUUCCUUUGAGUUUCAGUCUUGCGACCGUACUCCCCAGGCGGCGAACUUAACGCGUUAGCUUCGAUACUGAGUUCCUAGUUGAACCCAACAUCCAGUUCGCAUCGUUUAGGGCGUGGACUAC
rnacentral:misc_RNA from 1 species